rnacentral:rRNA from 1 species
AUUGAACGCUGGCGGCAGGCUUAACACAUGCAAGUCGAGCGGGGAAAGGUAGCUUGCUACCUGACCUAGCGGCGGACGGGUGAGUAAUGCUUAGGAAUCUGCCUAUUAGUGGGGGACAACAUCUCGAAAGGGAUGCUAAUACCGCAUACGUCCUACGGGAGAAAGCAGGGGACCUUCGGGCCUUGCGCUAAUAGAUGAGCCUAAGUCGGAUUAGCUAGUUGGUGGGGUAAAGGCCUACCAAGGCGACGAUCUGUAGCGGGUCUGAGAGGAUGAUCCGCCACACUGGGACUGAGACACGGCCCAGACUUCUACGGGAGGCAGCAGUGGGGAAUAUUGGACAAUGGGGGGAACCCUGAUCCAGCCAUGCCGCGUGUGUGAAGAAGGCCUUUUGGUUGUAAAGCACUUUAAGCGAGGAGGAGGCUACCGAGAUUAAUACUCUUGGAUAGUGGACGUUACUCGCAGAAUAAGCACCGGCUAACUCUGUG